UAAAAUAGAUGAAGAAGGGAGAUACUGUGAUCACAGAGGUGGUUUUCCCGGUUCGAGGCUGAUCUGUUGCUCUCUGGAUAUGCUGACCCUGUGAUUUCCUCAUAAUUUGUAGUAGUCGAGGACUCUACCUGUGUUCCCCCUCUU
rnacentral:snRNA from 1 species